UACGUAGGGGGCUAGCGUUGUCCGGAACCAUUGGGCGUAAAGCGCGUGUAGGCGGUCCGGUAAGUCCGCUGUGAAAGUCGGGGGCUCAACCCUCGGAUGCCGGUGGAUACUGUCGGGCUUGAGUACGGAAGAGGCGAGUGGAGUUCCUGGUGUAGCGGUGAAAUGCGCAGAUAUCAGGAGGAACACCAAUGGCGAAGGCAGCUCGCUGGGACGGUACUGACGCUGAGACGCGAAAGCGUGGGGAGCAAACAGG
rnacentral:rRNA from 1 species